rnacentral:rRNA from 1 species
CAGUCGCCACGGGAAUACAGAGGGUGCGAGCGUUAAUCGGAUUUACUGGGCGUAAAGCGUGCGUAGGCGGCUUUUUAAGUCGGAUGUGAAAUCCCUGAGCUUAACUUAGGAAUUGCAUUCGAUACUGGGAAGCUAGAGUAUGGGAGAGGAUGGUAGAAUUCCAGGUGUAGCGGUGAAAUGCGUAGAGAUCUGGAGGAAUACCGAUGGCGAAGGCAGCCAUCUGGCCUAAUACUGACGCUGAGGUACGAAAGCAUGGGGAGCAAACAGGAUUUGAUACCCGAGUAGUCCCUGUCUCUUAUAC